rnacentral:lncRNA from 1 species
CAUGUUUACAUCCCGCACUAUUUCCGUUCGUGCCGCGUUGAAACAAUCAUGCACAGGCAUUUCCUUUCGCUGACCCCAUGGAACAAACUUCAAACUUGCGCAGCAGUCAACGCCAAUUGGACAGACUUACUGUGGCUCAUUCCGAUACCUAUUCAAAUGCGCCUCUGAAACGGGAGCAAUGAAAAUACGUGCAAUACAAGAAUAUAUCUCCAUGUAAAUCAAGCACACCACACUUAUUCAAUUCUGCUAGGAGCACCACAACUACACUAAAGAAAGACUAUAGCUAGAGGAGGGGGUUAAUCAGAAUCAACGUAUAAAUACUGCACAUACAUUAUCGUUCUGACUUAAGCUAUUCGGUGAAAUACACAUGACAAAACAUGACAGAGGAAUUUUGAAGGGGUUAUCAUUUUCUAGCCACCAUUGCGUGAGCCUGAGUUUUGAGUCUAAUUUUUGCUGAUUACCGUAAACCCCCGCAGCAUUCGUUUCAUUGAGUGCAAUCCUUCGUACAAAGUAACACCUUUCUCGUAAUUCCGGACCACAAGCCUUGCUUCACUUAAGGUAUUAUCACUAAUCCUCAAACGAUGCACUUCAUUCGAACGUAUAUACUUGCUACACAGGUACGAAUUGGGAUUUUGUUAUUUUACUCACAUAUUGUAAUAUAUUUAUCAUCCGGCUACGCGAAGGCAAAUAAAAAUCAGCUUAUGCAUGACGUAUACUUGGGGGAAUCGUCGUAUUUAAAGUAGUGCGCAGUGGUACGAAGUCGCACCAGUGUACCGAUUGAGCUUUAACAAUUUACUCAUCGUUCCAAGUUGUGGUGUGUAUAACGCUAGCAAAGCAGAGUCACUGUCCAGUUGCUUCU